rnacentral:rRNA from 1 species
UACGUAGGGGGCAAGCGUUGUCCGGAUUUAUUGGGCGUAAAGAGCGUGUAGGCGGCUAGAUAGGUCCGUUGUGAAAACUCGAGGCUCAACCUCGAGACGUCGAUGGAAACCAUCUGGCUAGAGUCCGGAAGAGGAGAGUGGAAUUCCUGGUGUAGCGGUGAAAUGCGUAGAUAUCGGGAGGAACACCAGUGGCGAAGGCGACUACCUGGCCUGUUCUUGACGCUGAGGCGCGAAAGCUAGGGGAGCAAACGGG